rnacentral:rRNA from 1 species
AGAGUUUGAUCAUGGCUCAGAUUGAACGCUGGCGGCAUGCUUUACACAUGCAAGUCGAACGGCAGCGCGGGCUUCGGCCUGGCGGCGAGUGGCGAACGGGUGAGUAAUACAUCGGAACGCGCCCAGUAGUGGGGGAUAGCUCGGCGAAAGCCGGAUUAAUACCGCAUACGACCUGAGGGUGAAAGCGGGGGAUCUUCGGACCUCGCGCUAUUGGAGCGGCCGAUGGCAGAUUAGCUAGUUGGUGGGGUAAAGGCCUACCAAGGCGACGAUCUGUAGCUGGUCUGAGAGGACGACCAGCCACACUGGGACUGAGACACGGCCCAGACUCCUACGGGAGGCAGCAGUGGGGAAUUUUGGACAAUGGGCGAAAGCCUGAUCCAGCAAUGCCGCGUGUGUGAUGAAGGCCUUCGGGUUGUAAAGCACUUUUGGCGGGAACGAAAAGGACUGUGCCAAUACCACGGUUCGAUGACGGUACCCGCAGAAUAAGCACCGGCUAACUACGUGCCAGCAGCCGCGGUAAU